UGAACGCUGGCGGCGUGCCUAAUACAUGCAGGUCGAGCGAACAGACGAGGAGCUUGCUCCUCUGACGUUAGCGGCGGACGGGUGAGUAACACGUGGAUAACCUACCUAUAAGACUGGGAUAACUUCGGGAAACCGGAGCUAAUACCGGAUAAUAUAUUGAACCGCAUGGUUCAAUAGUGAAAGACGGUUUUGCUGUCACUUAUAGAUGGAUCCGCGCCGCAUUAGCUAGUUGGUAAGGUAACGGCUUACCAAGGCAACGAUGCGUAGCCGACCUGAGAGGGUGAUCGGCCACACUGGAACUGAGACACGGUCCAGACUCCUACGGGAGGCAGCAGUAGGGAAUCUUCCGCAAUGGGCGAAAGCCUGACGGAGCAACGCCGCGUGAGUGAUGAAGGUCUUCGGAUCGUAAAACUCUGUUAUUAGGGAAGAACAAAUGUGUAAGUAACUAUGCACGUCUUGACGGUACCUAAUCAGAAAGCCACGGCUAACUACGUG
rnacentral:rRNA from 1 species